rnacentral:tRNA from 1 species
GCCGAAGUGGCGGAACUGGUAGACGCCAGGGAUUUAAAAUCCCUUGGGUGGUGUACACCCGUGCCGGUUCGAGCCCGGCCUUCGGCA